UGAUGAGUGCAUAUUUAUGUCUACAUUUAUGCUUUAAAAUUAAAUUUUUAAUAGAAUAUUUGUGCUUAAAUGAUUGAUUUGUAGAGGAUUUGUAAUUAUUGGAUUUAGAGUAUUUGGAAAUAAAAAGGGCUUAAAAAUGAUUUUAAUUGCAUAAAUUAUUCUUGGAUAUUCUAAUAUUUAUUUGUGCAGCUGAAGUUAGAGUUUUAUUGGUCCAAAUUGCAAAUUAAAGCCCAAAAUCAGGUUUUGUUUGGAAAAUAAUGUACAGCUGGGCCAAACAGGCAGUUUUUACCCUUGCACCCCCAGAUUUCCCUACAUGCACCCCCAGUUUUAAACCAGGCCAACAACCAAGCCUAAACACUAAACCUUUUCUCCUACACCUCCUAAAUUUUCCUACCCAUACCCAUCCUAUCACUAACUAAGUCAGAUUGCUUAAGAUGGUGCCACAUGGCAGUCCACAAAUAAUAGAUCCAACCAUCCAGAUGAUGCCACAUCAUUAAUCCCUGUACUCACCAAAUAAACCACUCAGAACAUGCCACCUAGCCCCCUCUUGCCACGUCAUCACCAUCUUCCACAGAAGAAACCCUAAUUCCUCUUCCUAACCCUAGCCGCCGCCUCCUCCAUGGCAGACAUCCAACGACCUUCAGCGACCACGUAGACGCCGGCCACCACAUCGCGCAACCAGCCACGGUCUCGCCGGCAGCCACCAUGGAAUCG
rnacentral:lncRNA from 1 species